rfam:Desulfuromonas sp. DDH964, complete genome.
UCCAUCGCGAGGUGGAAUCUGAAGGAAGCCGCAGGCAAAAUCCCGGUCCGACGAACAGAAACCGCAUGAGGCAGUCUCAUCCGGGCGAGAAGGCCAAUAUCUUCAAAGCCCGAUAGCCAUCCGGGAGGGUGGGGCUGUAGAUGCGGCGGGUAGAUGGGAGGAAGGUCACGCGCA